GAGAAAUUAGUUAAACAAAUAACAUUAGCUUGUCAUGCUAAAAUUACUUGGGAUAGUAUUUCUUU